rfam:Astyanax mexicanus Tnplaced_Scaffold_16, whole genome shotgun sequence.
AAAAAAUAAUCCUGUUAGUUGCUCUGGAUAAGAGCAUCAGCUAAAUGCCAUAAU